rnacentral:rRNA from 1 species
UACGUAGGGCGCAAGCGUUAUCCGGAAUUAUUGGGCGUAAAGAGCUUGUAGGCGGUCUGUCGCGUCUGCUGUGAAAAUCCGGGGCUCAACCCCGGACUUGCAGUGGGUACGGGCAGACUAGAGUGUGGUAGGGGAGACUGGAAUUCCUGGUGUAGCGGUGAAAUGCGCAGAUAUCAGGAGGAACACCGGUGGCGAAGGCGGGUCUCUGGGCAAUAACUGACGCUGAGGAGCGAAAGCGUGGGGAGCGAACAGG